AGUGAUAUAGCUUAGUGGUAGAGCAUGUACUUAGCAUGUUCAAGGUCCUGAGUUCAAUCCUCAGAACCUCCA
rnacentral:tRNA from 1 species